GACUGCAGUGAAGAUCAGACCGAUGAGGUGACUCUCUGACUGCAGUGAAGAUCAGACCGAUGAGGUGACUCUCUGACUGCAGUGAAGAUCAGACCGAUGAGGUGACCCUCUGUCUGUAGUGUUGUAGAGACUCCACUUUCUCUUUACAGGUUUUCUGCUUUAUAAUAAAAAGAAAAGGAAAUGCUGUUUAGUAAAACAUAUUUUUUUUUUAAAUAGGUUAAAAAAAAAUCCUAAAAAACCUGUAUACAUUAUGCAAAUGAACCACUGACCUGCGAGGCGGAAGAUGAGAUGUUGCAGUGAAUGAACGCCAUGGUUGGCACCCUAUUCCCUAUAUAGUGCACUACUUUUGACCAGGACCCAUGGAGAUCUACUCAAAAGUAGUGCCCUACAUGGGAAAUAGGCUGCCAUAUGGGACUCUAUCCAGUUUUUUCUCCUUUUUUAAAUGUUUUAAUUUCACAGCUUUAAAGAGAGAAAAAAACCUUGCAACCUGGUGUUGUUUUUGAAUAGGAACCAACUCUUUUUCAAUAUGAUGAAGUAUGUCUGAGAAUCUGUACAUGUAUGACGUCUGUUCCUGUGCAUGUGUACAUAAAACGAAGAUGGACUCAGA